rnacentral:rRNA from 1 species
AUGUUCAACCGGACAAGGAUGGAGCGCUCUGCUCCAAACAAUCAGGAUGCUGUGGCUGCCUGCAGAUUUGCCUACCUAGAAGAUCCAUGUUUUUCUUUUGGUUAUCUUUUUGGAAGGUUCGGCAAACGACAGAGAACAGGUUACAGCCAAAUUCACCAAACUGAUGAAAUGAAUCCCUGCUUUCAAAAUAUCAAUUCACCAAAAGAAGCACAAAUUCAGUUGUUACAGCCAAAGAGGCAACAGAGCAUUGGCAAUCAUCCAUCAAUCAAUUCCCCAUUCAGCACUAACAGCAUUUGUAGUUCCAGAUAA